GAUGAACGCUGGCGGCGUGCUUAACACAUGCAAGUCGAACGGAAAGGCCCAAGUUUGCUUGGGUACUCGAGUGGCGAACGGGUGAGUAACACGUGGGUGUUCUUCCCUGCACUUCGGGAUAAGCCUGGGAAACUGGGUCUAAUACCGGAUAGGACCACUUCUUGGAUGUUGUGGUGGAAAGUUUUUUCGGUGUGGGAUGAGCUCGCGGCCUAUCAGCUUGUUGGUGGGGUAAUGGCCUACCAAGGCGUCGCCGGGUAGCCGGCCUGAGAGGGUGUACGGCCACAUUAGGACUGAGAGACGGCCCAGACUCCUACGGGAGGAAGCAGUGGGGAAGAUUGCACAAUGGGCGCAAGCCUGAUGCAGCGACGCCGCGUGGGGGAGGACGGCCUUCGGGUUGUAAACUCCUUUCGCUAGGGACGAAGCGUUUUGUGACGGUACCUGGAGAAGAAGCACCGGCUAACUACGUG
rnacentral:rRNA from 1 species